rnacentral:rRNA from 1 species
UACGUAGGGGGCGAGCGUUGUCCGGAAUCAUUGGGCGUAAAGCGCGUGUAGGCGGUUCGGUAAGUCUGCUGUGAAAGUCCAGGGCUCAACCCUGGGAUGCCGGUGGAUACUGCCGAACUAGAGUGCGGAAGAGGCGAGUGGAAUUCCCGGUGUAGCGGUGAAAUGCGUAGAUAUUGGGAGGAACACCAGUGGCGAAGGCGGCUCGCUGGACCGGAACUGACGCUGAGGCGCGAAAGCGUGGGGAGCAAACAGG